rnacentral:rRNA from 1 species
GGAUUAACGCUGGCGGUAUGCCUAAUACAUGCAAGUCAAACGGCCAAUUUAUUGGCAGUGGCGAACGGGUGAGUAACACGUACUUAAUCUGCCCAUAAGACGGGGAUAACAGUUGGAAACGACUGCUAAUACCGGAUGUGAUGCUUUGUCAUAAGAUAAAGUCUUAAAGAUGCGUUUGCAUCGCUUAUGGAUGAGAGUGCGCUACAUUAGCUAGUUGGUAGGGUAAAGGCCUACCAAGGCAACGAUGUAUAUCUGGGGUGAGAGCCCGAACAGACACACUGGGACUGAGAUACGGCCCAGACUCCUACGGGAGGCAGCAGUAGGGAAUUUUCCACAAUGGGCGAAAGCCUGAUGGAGCAAUACCGCGUGUAGGAUGAAGGAUUUUGGUCUGUAAACUACUGUUAUAGGAGAUGAAAAAGCCAUGUAGGAAAUGACAUAGCCUUGACAGUAUCCUAUCAGAAAGGGGCGGCAAACUAUGUGCCAGCAGCCGCGGUAAUACAUAGGCCCCAAGCGUUAUCCGGAUUUACUGGGCGUAAAGAGUGCGCAGGUGAUUUCACAAGUCUGUAUUGAAAGGCUGGAGCUCAACUCCAGUUUGGUAUGGAAACUGUGUUAUUAGAUUAUGAUAGAGGUUAGCGGAAUUCCUAAUGUAGCGGUGGAAUGCGUAGAUAUUAGGAGGAACACCAAAAGCGAAGGCAGCUAACUGGGUCAUUAAUGACACUGGUGCACGAAAGCGUGGGGAGCAAACAGGAUUAGAUACCUUGGUAGUCCACGCCGUAAACUAUCUCUACUAGACAUUGGAUUAUUUCAGUGUCGCAGCUAACGCAUUAAGUAGAGCGCCUGAGGAGUAUGCACGCAAGUGUGAAACUCAAAGGAAUUGACGGGGACCCGCACAAGUGGUGGAGCAUGUGGUUUAAUUCGAAGAUACGCGAGGAACCUUACCAACUCUUGAAAUCCUUUGCAAAGCUAUGGAGACAUAGUGGAGGUUAUCAGAGUGACAGGUGGUGCAUGGUUGUCGUCAGCUCGUGUCGUGAGAUGUUGGGUUAAGUCCCGCAACGAGCGCAACCCUAGUCGUUAUUUGCCAGCAUUCAGUUGGGGACUAUAGCGAGACUGCCCGGGUAACCGGGAGGAAGGUUGGGAUGACGUCAAAUCAUCAUGCCCCUUAUGAGUUGGGCUACACACGUGCUACAAUGGUGCAUACAACGAGAAGCGAUACUGCAAAGUGGAGCAAAUCUCUCAAAAUGCAUCUCAGUUCGGAUCGAAGUCUGCAAUUCGACUUCGUGAAGUUGGAAUCACUAGUAAUCGCAAAUCAGCCAUGUUGUGGUGAAUACGUUCUCGGGUCUUGUACACACCGCCCGUCACACCAUGAGAGUUAACAACACCCGAAGUUGCUGUUCUAACCGUUUACGGAGGAAGGUGCCUAAGGUGGGGUUAAUAAUUAGGGU